AUAGCCGGCAAAGACCCCAGAGCCCUCAAAGAACCUAUUGACCCCAAAGCCUCCAUUGCCUUCACAGCCCCUAUAGCCACCAUAGCCGGCAAAGACCCCAGAGCCCUCAAAGAACCUAUAGACCUCAAAGCCCCCAUUGCCCUCACAGACCUCACAGCCCCCAUGACCCUCUACAGCUCUCAAAGUCCUUAGAGCCCUUAUAGCCCUCACAGACCCCACAGCAUCUUCAGGACUUUUAUCACACCUCAGGAUAUGAAGUAGAUGAGGAAUUAAGUACACUAAAAAAAAAGCAACUCUCAUGAAGUGUUUUAGCUGGAGAGUCCAUUAUGCUGCAAAAAGUUAUUUCCAGGUUCAAACAGAUGUGCUGGUUAUGAGUAUUCACUUCUCUUGUAUACAUACAGACUGCUCUCUUUACACAAAGUCUUAUUUUUCUAGGCUUGGCUAUGUCUCAGAUUUUUCAGAUGUCCAACUGAAUUCCCUUCAGUUGCGCUCCAGUACGACUCAAGGUCAAGUUGUGUGGGCUCCUGGUAGUUCUUUGCGUUCUCCCAGGAGCUCUCUGGAAUUGAAAGGAGGUGCCCAAAACUGAGCUCUGUUCUUCAUGAAAGCCUUUUUUGAGCUCAGUGGAGCAGAAGAAUUAUUUCGCUCUUGUCUUUUACAGCCUUUUCCUACGUUUCAGUAGCAUAGUCACAUUUUUUGUGGUGACUCAUUUUCUAUUUGUGAACUGCUACAAACCAAGAUUUUCUGUAAAGUGACUGCUUCGCCACUUUGUCUUCAGCUCACAGUUUUGCAGCCAAUUAUUCCCAGCUAUAUGUAAUAGUUUCUCACCUUAUUGAAUUACAUCCUGUUUAGUUCAGAUCUUUGUUCCAACUUGUCAUGAUUUGUUCAAUACUAAUUACAUCUUCCAAAAUGCUUACAGCUCCCGCCUGAACAGGGUAUCUUCCACAAAUAUGAUAAAAAUAUUCCUUAGCCUCUUGCCUCACAGAAGCAGUUCAGGACUUGGGACGUGGGCAUCUGGAGGACUCUCUGCAAACUUGACACUAUUUCUGAGCGCCAUUUUGUAACCAUUUCACUUAAGUGUUGUGUAGCCAGCUUCUUGACCUUGCUUCAUCAGAAGCCUUGCUUCAGUCAAGAUUCCAUAAUUUGCUUUUUUUUUGAUGUUAUGGUUGAUUAUUCAACUUAUCAUCUGACGCCUUACAAAUAAUUUGCAAUUAGUUUACAAAUAAUUUCUUCCAGUAUUUUGCCUGAUACAAAAUAAAGGUGACUGGCCUCUGAUUCCCACCCUUUUCUGGUUUAGGGUAGGCACUAUUUCCUUUUUGCUGGUCUCAUGGAACCUCAGCUGUCUUUUUGGAGUUUUUGAAAGGAAUUGCUCAUAGCUUGGAGAUUACUUAACCAUUUUCCUAAAUGUGUUGUCUAAAAUUGCAGAUUAUUUUUGUAAGCAUCCUACUUGAAUAGAUUGUUUCUUUCCUUAGUUUAGCUUGAUCAUUGGUUUGCAUGUUGUUAACAUGUGCUGGGUUUGGCUGGGGUAGAGCUAAUUCUCUUCACAGUAGCUGGUGUGGGGCUGUGUUUUGGGUUGGGUAUAUUCUCUUCCCUUGUUAACCACCUGGUUACAGCUGACAUUUUGGUGAAGAGCAAAGCAAAAACCAUGAGGCUUUGGUUUUCCUCAAAUGACUUGGGAACACUUUCCUUGCCCAGCUGAGAGCAAGUCCUUCCCCAACAAUCUUUCACGUAAGCUUUUUGUUUUUACUCUCCGUGGCUUCUUGACAGUUUUAGCUUAUAUUGUGUGUUAAUCUUUGUGUUGUUGAUUGUGAGAAAUAGAGACCCAAAGCCGGAUAAUUUCCAAUUAGAAUUUAUUAUAUGAUAAAAGCAAAUUCAGCGCUGGGUGAUCAGGGGGGAGUUUGAGCAACUCUGAACGCCUGUCACACCCAAAGCAGACAGUGUUCUAUAUUUAUUCUCAGCUACUUCAUGAAUAUUCAUUAUACAUAAGCAUAAACAUUACACAUUGUUAUGUCAGGAAUUCAACAGAUGUUUUUCUUAGACAAGAGUGUAUCUACAUACAAGCAUCAAUAUAUAUUGUUAAGUCAGACAUUCAACAGAUGUUUUCUUAGACUUAGCUUGUUGUGUAUACAAAGUUAUAAAUUUUCAAGAAAGGUGUUAUUAUCUAGUUAACUAAACGAAGUCUCCUCACUAUAAAUUUUGUACAAGGUAAAAGAGAGGUAACUUGUUUUAUGUCUUUAUAGGGGCCCAAUUAAGUUUUGUGAUUUGUUUUUCUUUUCUCUCUCUAGGUUAUAUUGACCUUAUGCUGUUUUCUUUUUAAUUAGCUUGAAUCAUUCCCUUAGUUUAUUACAUUGAUUUUAAUAAUUUAACCUAGAUUUUGCUUUUUUAAAAGGGGCAAGCCAUUGAAAUAUUUCAAUUUAAACAGACUCUUCCCUUCCUUUCUUGCUUUCUCACUGCAGUGGUCUAGUUGCAGCCUUGAUGUUUGUUGGAAAUAAAUAGGACGGUUUUAUUGCAAGCAGGGGUUUCCAUGGCUGCCUCGUGCCGGGGCACUUGGGAACCAUUUUGUUUGAAGGACUGGGGAGCCAUUUUGUGGUCGGGGACUGGUGGACAGCUUGUGGUUCUACUUGAAGUUGCUUAUUGCUGCUGCCUACCUGCUGCUACACACAGUUCUGCUUGGGUGCGAAGGCGAGCCUGGAAGAAUGUAAGGUGGUGAGAGUAGCCUGGGCUCACUGCCAGGGAACCAUGCGGCCUGGGCGGGGAAACAACCUGACAGGUGGAUGAGGGCAACCAAUGGGCUGCACCAGAAAGCAAAGCUCGCCUUUUAAGGAAGAAAAGAGCCGGCAUGGGAGGAGCGAGGGAGUGGCUAUGUUAAAUUGAAGGGUCUUAAAAGGGCUCGUCCCUCCAUCCAGGUGUGCUUGAACUGGGUCACAAGUUCGAUGCACCCAGUAUGCUGUUAAAUAAAGUUCCUUGUUUGUUUCACUUUA